AUUGAACGCUGGCGGCAGGCCUAACACAUGCAAGUCGAACGGUAACAGGAAGACGCUUGCUUCUUUGCUGACGAGUGGCGGACGGGUGAGUAAUGUCUGGGAAACUGCCUGAUGGAGGGGGAUAACUACUGGAAACGGUAGCUAAUACCGCAUAACGUCGCAAGACCAAAGAGGGGGACCUUCGGGCCUCUUGCCAUCGGAUGUGCCCAGAUGGGAUUAGCUAGUAGGUGGGGUAACGGCUCACCUAGGCGACGAUCCCUAGCUGGUCUGAGAGGAUGACCAGCCACACUGGAACUGAGACACGGUCCAGACUCCUACGGGAGGCAGCAGUGGGGAAUAUUGCACAAAGGGCGCAAGCCUGAUGCAGCCAUGCCGCGUGUAUGAAGAAGGCCUUCGGGUUGUAAAGUACUUUCAGCGGGGAGGAAGGGAGUAAAGUUAAUACCUUUGCUCAUUGACGUUACCCGCAGAAGAAGCACCGGCUAACUCCGUG
rnacentral:rRNA from 1 species